GUAGGCGUAAGCUCAGUGGUAGAGCAGCGGACUCAACUUGAAUGAAAGUUGAGGCUGAAGCUGUUAAAUUCUUUCUAAAAAAUGCGGCAACCCGUUGGUCGAAGGUUCGAAUCCUUCCGGCGGCG
rnacentral:tRNA from 1 species